rnacentral:lncRNA from 1 species
GGGGGGGGCAGCCCUAUCGGCGAUGCCUUCAGCAGGAAAAACAACCCGACAAACCCCGAUGUCGGGAUGUGUGCCCGGCAGAGGGCAGUGCCACCCGCCCGGCACAUCGCUGCCAUCUGCAGCCACCUCCGAGCCCCAUCCCAACCUUUCACCAUGCGAAAGACCAGGGAUGCUGCCGGCCCGACGUCUGGCUUUUCUUUUUUUCUUUUUUUUACGUUACUUUCUCUAUUUCUCAUGGUUUUUUUUUUCCACGCUCUUCAAAGCCGGGGUUUGUUUGUUUGUUUUUCAAAAGCAAGGGUUCCAAUCCCAGCAUCUGUGAGAAACCUUACAGGAAAUAACCCGUGUGCGCAGAAGUGCUCCAGUGUUCCACGCCGUGGCAAUGUUUGUCUUUCCCCUCCGUAUAACAACGCAGAUGGCACGCAAGGCCAUUGCUCGCUGCGUCCUGCCAGCAAAGAGAGCUUUGGGGUAGAGAUUCUCAUCUCCUUUUCACGCCGUGGAUGGAUUAUACCCUGAAAUAGCUCCUCUUCCAUGUGAUGUUGUGCUGUGUGAAGCAGGUAACUUCAUUUUCCUACGCCUUUGGGCAUUCCAGCAAUGCUGCGCCGAGUCCAACGCACACAGAGAUGGAAUUACGGUGCUGGAUGUGGCUGAGGUUGCUCUGCUGUGCUGCUUAAGGGAGGAGAAGCCCUUCAGCCGUGCUCCUUGUGAUGCAGCAUCGAGGCCAUGUGAGAACUACCCAGACCUUCCAGCUGACAGGUGAGGACUGAAGUAGUUGCAUCCAUCCAGCAUAGGUGCGACACGAGCUGCCACAAAGCUGAUCUGCUUUGCUCGGGGUGGUGCUGUGCCCUGCCUGCUGGCUAGCCAGGACCUCUCGGUGUCCUGCGGUGGAAUGAAUGAUACAUCACGCUCCUCUGGGCUUCCAAGGGCUUCGUGCAAAGCUGCUGCCGAUCUGAGGGAAGGCUCCCAGUUCACACGCUGCACUUCAGGUUAGAGAUUGCCUUAACGUGGUGUUCUCAGCACGGGUUAGAGACGCCCAUGGAGGCAAUGAAGCCACCAGAGGGCUCGGUGUCGUCACGCAGGCUGCCUGGCCCCCUACUCAGCGCAAUGCAAACCCUUCCUAAGGGACCGAGAGCGCUUCCUCUGCGUCUCCCUUCCUCCGAGGGACAAUACCGGGCAUGGCAGGAAAAGGAAGUCCGCGUGGUUCCCAUUGCACGACGGGUUGCUUGCAAGCAAAGAACAGGGGGAGGCUCUGGCACUUCCAAGGACCCUCUCGCAGCUGGAGCCGCACAGAAGCGGGGCUGCACGAUGUGGGGCGUUAUGCGACCCCAGUGGGCUUCUGCCUGCUGCUGGCCCUGCGUUUCGACGGCACCCCAACGAAUGCGGUUUGACG